AUGCAUUCAGAAAAAUAGGGAGAUGAUGAAUAAUGGAGAAUGAAGUGGUUGGUUACGUGAAAGAGGUAAGGCCAUGUGCUUUCAUUCAGCACUGCUGUGAUGACAUGGAAACCACUCAUGAAGAAUCAAUUGGAAAGUGAUGUCAAAAUUCUGAAACAUCACGUGCACGUGGAAAAGCAUUUGUAAAGUGAUACCAAAAUUCUAAAACCACUACACGUGAAAGUGGAAAGAUGGCAUGGAGAAUAAUAUGGUGCUAUGAUGGCAUGCUUUCUGAAGUAGCGAGGACCACUCAAGCCAUAUAUGCAAAUAACUCACGGCCUUGGCUCACAUAAAGGGUGAAGUUGUUUCUCACGGAUUGGAAAAUAAGUUAAGUCAGCAAAGCUACUGAAACACACUUUCAUUUCAAUUUACUGAAACAUAGCUCCAUAUUCACGGCCAACUCUUUGAUGGGAAGUGGGAACCACACACAUGGAAGUCACGGAUUCUUUGAAGCAGCUCACGGAUAUCCAUUCUUCACGAGCUCCACACCGUCCAGAAGCAUCCAAGAUACAACAAAGAUUUCCAUUGAGCUGGUAGAAAAGUAGACAGCAUCAAGGAAAGUAAGAGUCAAAUACGUUGGAUGAUUGAAGUUUGUAGUUGAUUCACACGGCUGCACAUAGUGUGGAGGGUCCUUCUUGUUCUUGUUUGGAUUGAAGAAGGUUGGAAGAAGUUGGGCACACCAGACAAUAAUCAUUUGAAGUGAAGAGUAAAUAUAGCAAAGAGGGGAUGAUCCAGAGAGGAGAAUACGUAUGGAGACAAAUUUAUGGAGGACCCCUCAUUGAAAUGGUAAGUGGUAUGCACACAUCAGAACACGAGAAGGCCGUGAGCUGAGGAUGAUAAAAGGAAAGAUAUGGUGUCAGAAACACUAGUAGACAGUAGAGAGCGAAUAGUGUAGGAGUAGAGUAGGAAGUUCUCUGGUUUUCAUUUUUCCCCCUCCCCCUUGGGGAGGUUUUGGGUUGUUGUUCUUUUCCAGUACUGCUUUCUAAAGAAAUGGUGAUUGUAAUUUUUAUUUCUUUGUUAUAAUGAACUUUCGGUGAUUGUAAUUUUUAUUUCUUUGUUAUAAUGAACUUUCAAUUUAAUUUCCAGUCCGAUUCCAAUUCUGAUGAACUUUCCAGACAAAUUGAUCCUUGAGAGACGACCUAGGAGUCAAAUCCUAGUAGACUGUACUGCAUUUCUAAUAUCUGCAAUCAACUUUUGAUGGGCCGCGACAGCUUUAAUCACUGAACGUCUAGGAUCUCUGCGAAGCCUCUGCCCCGGUGCCAUCUGAAGAGUCUGAGAACCCAGAGGAGCUUCUCUGCCAGCCUACUACUCCAGAAUAUACUGAGAGAAAUGAUGAGUGAGAUAGAAUCAGAGAGAUACACCAGUCAGCGGUGGCGUCCAACCGAAAAUCAGACCCAGAUGAUGACCAGAAUCUACAACUUUGGGGUCACACACCCAAGCAGAGCGCAAGUUGUCGAGAUCACGUCUCGACUAAGGAUCUUCGGAGAUGCCAGCGAAUACAACGUGCACUGCUGGUUCAACAACCACGGCAAUCGGGUCAGGCGCUGGCAAGCGGAGAUAGACCCCACUGGCACUCAGUUUUCACAACUGCCGCUAUAUAUGUAUGAAUACGACUGGGUGAUAAUGAGGGCACCGAGGCUGUUGGACCUCUUCCCCAUUCCCAUCAUAAUCGACGACGACAAAGAUGAACGGCAAAUCCCGCCACCUACGCCUUCUGCAUUCCGAACCAGAGCUCCUUCAACGGCGCUCUCCCUUAGACCACCACAACCAGCUCGUGAAUUCUUCCAGUUUUAAUGUUUUAUGUUAUUUUUGUUUUUUUUUUAUGUUUUUGCUGGCCGAGUGUGGCCAAAAUUUGAAUAAGGCAUGUAAUCUGAACAAUUAAUUUUUUUUUUAAGUUUUUAUGUUUUUAUUUAUUAUGGUGUGUAAUAUUAACGAUCAGAAAUGAUCGACCCCCGAACAACUUAAAUUUCAUAUAUC